rnacentral:rRNA from 1 species
UACGUAGGGUGCAAGCGUUGUUCGGAAUUACUGGGCGUAAAGCGCACGUAGGCGGCUUUGUAAGUUAGGGGUGAAAGCCUGGAGCUCAACUUCAGAAUUGCCUUUAAGACUGCAUCGCUUGAAUUGUGGAGAGGUAAGUGGAAUUCCGAGUGUAGAGGUGAAAUUCGUAGAUAUUCGGAAGAACACCAGUGGCGAAGGCGACUUACUGGACACAUAUUGACGCUGAGGUGCGAAAGCGUGGGGAGCAAACAGG